rnacentral:rRNA from 1 species
GAUGAACGCUGGCGGCGUGCCUAAUACAUGCAAGUCGAGCGAACAGACGAGGAGCUUGCUCCUCUGACGUUAGCGGCGGACGGGUGAGUAACACGUGGAUAACCUACCUAUAAGACUGGGAUAACUUCGGGAAACCGGAGCUAAUACCGGAUAACAUGUUGAACCGCAUGGUUCAACAGUGAAAGACGGUUUUGCUGUCACUUAUAGCUGGAUCCGCGUCGCAUUAGCUAGUUGGUAAGGUAACGGCUUACCAAGGCAACGAUGCGUAGCCGACCUGAGAGGGUGAUCGGCCACACUGGAACUGAGACACGGUCCAGACUCCUACGGGAGGCAGCAGUAGGGAAUCUUCCGCAAUGGGCGAAAGCCUGACGGAGAAACGCCGCGUGAGUGAAGAAGGUCUUCGGAUCGUAAAACUCUGUUAUUAGGGAAGAACAAAUGUGUAAGUAAAUAUGCACGUCUUGACGGUACCUAAUCAGAAAGCCACGGCUAACUACGUG